rnacentral:lncRNA from 1 species
AUUUUUCUUUUCUAAGGGGGGUUACAAAAUCUGUAGAGAUGCCGAGUCGCUUCUCCUCUUGUUUCUCUUCUGUACUUUCCUAGUGCAGCACCAUGCAGGAUGCAAACUGAUUGGUAAUGGUUGAAUUGCAGUGGAGAGGGUGCCGACAGUCUAUUUCUCAAAUCCAAUGGGAUAGAGUUUUAUAGAAAUACAACAAUAUGAUUCCAUGCCAUGGCAGGAAGCAGUCAAUGUCGCAAAAAUUUCUUGUCGUUCUUUCCAGUUUUAGUGGCUGCGAAAAGCAUAAUAUGACCAUGACUAAAAGAUCUUUCAAUAGGAAAAUGGAGUAAUGAACCACACGGAGAUAUUAAGGAAAGGAACUAUGCGAUGAUGAUGUACCUCAUGAGACAUCACUGCAAUAUCUAAAUGUUUGGUGGACAUUCAGGUUAUCUAAGACAAUUUUCUUAGCAAUGAUAUAAAUGAAUGGAUUGGAUACACUUGUUUCCUGAAUCUACCUUGCCGACUAAAUGAACCUACAUUUCUGUAACCUUAAAGGAAUAUAGAGCAAAGCACAACCACUAACUUAACGGUUGCCCAAGAAUAAUGAGGGAUAAACCGGAAUAGAGAAUUGGGAAUCAACCUAACUGGGAGAAGGUAACAAAAGGGAUAGGUGGAAGUAGUGGAGACAGUGCUAGUCAACACUUGAUACAUAAAAUAGAACAUGGUAGAACAACAUCUGAAUCAUGAAUGUAAUCCAAAAUUUAUAUUUUAUAAAGAUAUGCCCAACUCCUCAAUAGUUGGUUAAUCAUUAGGAUAAAAUGCUAGAAGUCUUUAUAAGAUAUUAAAAGCGGAAUGAACCACAUCUACCAGAAAAAAGGCUUUCAUAUCAACACCUUUGGAGAAAGCGCAACCUAAUACUCCAUGCAUAAGUAAUCAAACAAUUAUCAUGCAAAAAGCUAAACAAACCCAACAAGGGGAUAAUAUAGAUCAUCAUGGGUGGCCGAUGUAGAAAUGUGUAUCGCGAUGAGCGAAUGAGAGGUUCCUAGUGGUGCAGGACAUCGCGAGAGGACCUGAAGACAGAGCAUGUGAAAACAACGACCGACACUAUCCUAACCCACCACCAGUAGUACUCCUUAACUCCAGCACCACCAAGCUCCUCCCUGAUAUUGGUAAUGGAACCAUGUAUGUAAAGGGAUAUACGAUAAUUAAAAGAAGACAAACUCGAUAAUUCAAGGCUAAAAGGGGAUAGUCUGAAGUCAAUAGUUUGUACUUAAUUUGUAAUACCUUCUAAACUGCAUAAUCUGAAUGGAAACAUUAGCUUUUGUUUUGGCAUACCACUUCGUAGCAUCUUUCUUGGACCAGGACCCUUUUCCAAACAAUCAGAAAAAAAAGAUCAGAAAUGGAUAUAUACAUUUUUAUGAAAAAAAAGGAUAAUUAUCUGUGCUGCCUUACCAGGCUAGAAUCUCAUUUCUCACUAUCUUAGUACUUCCUCAUUCAUCUCCAUUCUCCAGGGAUGCCUCAUGCAUCUUCAAUCCUAA